rnacentral:lncRNA from 1 species
UUUAGUUAUGACUUAUAUAUAUAGUUUAUUUGUUUUUAUUUAUUUAUAGUUUAAAGUUAUAUAUUAUUACUGUUAUAAAUAAUUAAAACAUUGAUAAUAAAUAAAUAGACAAAUUUUGUUUUAAUUUAUUUUUUAUUAGAAAAAUUAUUUUAUUUUAAUUUUGUUUAGUUUCAAGCUAUUUUACUAAUUAUUUUAGUUUUUAUUUUAUUUUGCUUUAUUUUAUUAAUUCAAAUGUGGAUUUAUUUUAUUAAUUUAUAAUUUUGAUUUGAUUUGAUUUUAU